rnacentral:rRNA from 1 species
UACGGAGGGUGCAAGCGUUGCUCGGAAUUAUUGGGCGUAAAGGGCAGGUAGGUGGUCUCGUUUGUCAGGGGUGAAAGCCUUGGGCUUAACCCGAGAAGUGCCUCUGAAACGGCGAGACUAGAGUGCUGGAGAGGUCGGUGGAAUUCCCGGUGUAGCGGUGAAAUGCGUAGAGAUCGGGAGGAACACCAGAGGCGAAGGCGGCCGGCUGGGGGUGACCUGACGCUGAGGCGCGAAAGCGUGGGGAGCGAACCGG